GUUCAAAAUGUUAACCAGGUGGUUAACAUUCACAGCUUUUCUGGCUUGCUCAGCGAAUCCAGAAAGAGCAGCUAUUACCGUCGCACCGACCUGCACGGUCAAAGGUCAUCCAGAGGUAGUGCUGACUUUAAACUGUGGUGACGGAAAGAACGCAGGUGUGGUUCAGUACUGGCACACCCCCUUUGGAGACCUUCAGACCCCUGGUUUCAACAGUGAGCUGGACCCUGUCUUUAUGCACCAUGACGGGAGCCUGGUGGUCCCCAACACCAGCCUUCUCCACAGUGGCCUGUACUACUGCCUCCUGCAGCACACAGAGGGAACUACACUGUGGCCGUACGAGCUCCACGUUGGUCAUAACAACCAAAACAACCCAGAACACAGCAGAUAUGAGCAACGUGGCAGCUGUGAGUCCAGGUCCAGGUCCAGGUCCAGGAGGGAUGUUGGGUCUGAGGAGGAGAGGCAGGCAGGAGUCUCAGAUGGGGAGUUUGCAGGAGCUGUGGCGGCAUCAGUGCUGCUGACGUUUGUGUUUGGUUUCAGUGCUGGAGCUCUGACCAGGACUCAUGUUCUCAGGUGUUUAGGGGCAGUCUCUACGAGGUUGCGAUUACCACGGAAACAACAACGUCAAACUGACACACCUGAACACGCCUCUGAGGUCAACAUGACAACCAUCCCACCCACGCACGACAACCGGGCUUUUGAGGCGGAACAGGUGUGGGACGACAACUCUGUAAACAUGGAGACGACGAUUUCAUCGACAACCUCAUCGCCUCCUGCCAAACCUCAGAGAAGCUUCCGGAACAAACGACUGGAGGAGCAGGAAACAACUGCCUAUCUGGAGGGAUGUGACUACAUGAAAGAAGAGGAGAGAAAGGUGGAGGAGGAGGAGGAGGAGGAGGAGGAGGAGGAGGCAGGUAGAAGUCUGGAGGAGGGGAAUAAAGAGUGUGGUGGGGAAGCAGAGGAGACAUUAGGAGAAGAUGAAGGGAGUCAAUCCGAAACAGAUGAAGAUGAGUGCAGUGAGAAAGGAGAGGAGAAAGAUGGAAGAGAGAGCAGAGAGGAAACGAAGGAAUGGAGGCAGGAGAAAGAGGUGGAGGAGCCAGGUGAGCAGGAGACCAAGGAGGAAGUAGAGGAGAGGGGAGGAAGUGAGGAGGCGGAAUGCAACAAGGAGGAAGGGAAAGAUGAGAAGAGGGAGGAGGAGGAAGAGGGAGAUGAUGGAGAUAAGAAGAAAAGAGAGGAAGAUGGAGAGACAGACAUUUGCAGUGAAGACGACGAGACAGGCAGUAAACAGGAGGACCCAAUGAAAAAUGGCCUCACAGGAGGAGGAGACGCAGCACCCAGCCGGGGCCGUCGCAGCCGCGUCAUUCGUCUGUACCAGUAUGACGAGGACGGCCAGCGGUACUGCCACCUUCCUGCCCCCGAGGCGCCACGCCCAGCCCCCAGGCUCAAACAGCGCUCCGUCUCUCUCACACGCCUCAACGCCAUCAUGGCUGCCGCCUCAGCAGGGCCACUGGACACCAGAGAGACGGGGAGGGAGGGUGCAGAGGAGAGGCCACACUUCCACAUGGAGAUUUAA
ensembl:lncRNA